GACAGAGGGUGCAAACGUUGCUCGGAAUCACUGGGCGUAAAGGGCGUGUAGGCGGGAAGGAAAGUCAGAUGUGAAAUCCCUGGGCUCAACCCAGGAACUGCAUUUGAAACUCCCUUUCUUGAGUACCGGAGAGGAAGGUGGAAUACCUGGUGUAGAGGUGAAAUUCGUAGAUAUCAGGAGGAACACCGGUGGCGAAGGCGGUUCUCUGGGCAUUACCUGACGCUGAGGAGCGAAAGCGUGGGGAGCAAACAGG
rnacentral:rRNA from 1 species